rnacentral:rRNA from 1 species
GGAGUUAGCCGGUGCUUCUUCUGUGAGUGAUGUCCUUCCUGCCGGCUAUUAACCCGCAGGCCUUCUUCCUCACUGAAAGUGCUUUACAACCCGAAGGCCUUCUUCACACACGCGGCAUGGCUGGAUCAGGGUUGCCCCCAUUGUCCAAUAUUCCCCACUGCUGCCUCCCGUAGGAGUCUGGGCCGUGUCUCAGUCCCAGUGUGGCUGAUCAUCCUCUCAGACCAGCUACGGAUCGUCGCCUUGGUGAGCCGUUACCUCACCAACCAGCUAAUCCGACAUAGGCUCAUCCGAUAGCGCGAGGCCCGAAGGUCCCCCGCUUUCCCCCGUAGGGCGUAUGCGGUAUUAGCCUGGGGUUUCCCCCAGGUUAUCCCCCACUACCGGGCAGAUUCCUAUGCAUUACUCACCCGUCCGCCGCUCGCCACCAGGGAGCAAGCUCCCCGUGCUGCCGCUCGACUUGCAUGUGUUAGGCCUGCCGCCAGCGUUCAAUCUGAGCCAGAAUCAAACUCUGA